rnacentral:lncRNA from 1 species
GGCUUCACCUAUUUUCAUGGAAUAAGGACUGAUAUGGAGCUAGGAAGCCAUGAAUCCCCCUUGACUAAUGCUGGGAACAAGGCCGCUCUACUCCCAUCUGUCUUCUAAGUCCACUUUAACUCUCUCAUUUUUAUUUGUGAUUUUAUUUGCUGUCAUUGUUAUCUUAAUUCUCAUUUUCCUUGAUUGUUGAUUUAUUUUUAUUUAUUUAUAUUUAUUACUAUUAUUUUUACUGUUGAUCAUUAUUCAUUUCCACUUUU